UUUUUUGACAAUCAGAUCGUCCCACAUAAGUGCAAGUAUACUGUGUUGUCUACAAAGGUUGAAAUGCGCCUUGCAAAAGCUGAGCCAGUAACUUGGACAUCAUUGGAUUAUACUGGUAAACCAAAGGCUCCUCAAAAGAUAAAUGUACCAGUUGAAUCAGCCCAGAGGCCAUCUUAUCCGUCAUCAAAAUCCAAAAAGGACUGGGAUAAGCUUGAAGCUGAA